UAAGCGGAGGAAAAGAAACUAACGAAGAUUGCCUUAGUAGCGGCGAGUGAAGCGGCAAGAGUCCAAGUUUAAAAUCUGGGGUUUCCACCUCCGAAUUGUAAUCUAAAGAGGUUAGCAAAAGGGGAAGCGGAAGCAUAAGUUCUCUGGAACGAGACAUCAAAGAGGGUGAAAAUCCCGUAUUUGGCUUCUGCUGAACCGAAUGCUGGUCUUCAUAGAGUCGGGUUGUUUGGGAUUGCAGCCCUAAAUGGGAGAUAAACUUCUUCUAAGGCUAAAUAUUGAUGGGAAACCGAUAGCGAACAAGUACUGUGAAGGAAAGAUGAAAAGAACUUUGAAAAGAGGGUUAAAAGACCUGAAAUCGUUGAGAAGGAAGCGGUAGAAACGAAUCAAUUGGCGCCGAAGUAAAGGAGGUGAGGUAAGUUUCCUGGUGGUGAUGUUCGUUAAAGGCUAGCCGUCAGGAAGUCAACUCUCUCUUGAUUUCGGUGUCAAAAGGCAGAAUGGGUUCAUACCUACAGUAAUCAGCUUGAGAAACGUCGGCGGGUUUCCGUCAGCUCUCGGGCAAAACUGCGGGGUGGACUGAGGGCGCAAAUGCGAUUCUGCCAAGAUGGUUUCUACCGACCCGUCUUGAAACACGGACCAAGGAGUCUAAC
rnacentral:rRNA from 1 species